GCUCAUUCUUUAUCCAUUUUUUUCUCCUUUUGUCCAAUUGCUGGUACACAUUUUUGUCUAACAAUACAGAGUAUUCCAGGAAUUUCAGUGGAGUUUUUUUUUAAACCCAUACCUUCCUUCUUGGGGUCAAUACUGUAUAUUGACUCCAAGGCAGAAGAGUGGUAAGGGCUAGGCAAUGGGGGUUAAGUGACUUGCCCAAGGUCACACAGCUGGGAAGUGUCUGAGGCCAGAUUUGAACCUAGGACCUCCCAUCUCUAGGCCUGACUCUCAAUCCACUGAGCUACCCAGCUGCCUCCUUCAGUGCAGUUUUUAAAAUAGCUUACAAUCAGAGAGCUUUAAACUGCAUGGAGAUUUCUGAGAUACCAGACCAUCAAAGUAGUUGAUGAAAUCAGAUAAGAUGCUAAUUCCAUAGAAGGAAUGUUUGAGAGGGUAGUACACCAAAUUACAUGUAGAAAACUUUGAGACUUCAUAAUGGAAUUUGGUUAUCAUAUAUUAAUAAUAUUAAUCUGAAAGUAUAUACAUCAGAUAAGACUUGUAUGGAUAGUAUCUGCCAGAAACUCUACAUUGCUGCUAUAGUCUAGUUAUAUAUCUCAAAGAAUUUUUUUUUCCUUCUGGAGGGACAAAAGGUAAAAAGUUUUUUUUAAUGUUUUAGAAACUAUUUAGGACUCUUGAACAUUCAAAGUUCAUUUUUUCCUGAAUUCUGAGUUCAACUGUUAUAGAAGAGUAAUGAUUUGUUUUAGUUCAGAGAAUUUUUUUUUUUGUCAAAAUAUAAUUUUUUUGGUCCAAGAUAGUAGGCACUAAAUUUUUUCAAAGUGUUUUGUGGAAAUACUUAGAUUUUUAUAGCAGGCCAUCACUGAAAUUGUUUAUGUAUUUAUUUGUUUAAUUGAAUUCUUGUUCUGAAGAUUGUUGCAAGAAGGAAUUAUAGUUAAGGUGGCUUCCCUUUUAAUCUUUUUCAUAGUGUAUGAAUACAUUAAUUUUUUUAAACACUGCUUUUUCUCACUGUAUUUUACUUAAGUAUUUGGCCUUUUUACAACAUUCUUGUUCCUUUCAGCAGCUUAUCAUUGCAUCUUAUUCCUAAGACCAAUUAGAUGAAAGAAAUUUUCCUCCUAUUUUUAGUGUUCUUCAUCCUCCUGACUUCUACUGUUUCUUCUUUCCCUCAUUAAUAUUCUUAAUCCAUUCUAAUCUUGGGAGACAUUGUUGUUAAAAAAGCAUUGGACUCUGUCCUGAACCAGAAACUGUAGUUGUGACCUUUGCCCACUGGCCAGCAAGAUCUGGCCCCACAGCUGCUCCCAUUGCCAGCACCUCCUUGGUCACUUCUCAGGAUCCUGUCCUUUUCUCCAAAGAUGUAGAUCAUUGUCUUAUGGGACAGUUCUGGUUUUGUCAAGAGUAUUCUGGAAGGCUGACAAACCUAGAACUGCCCCAUAUUGAUCUGGAUCCAAAUCUGCUUCUAGGUCUAUGACCACUUCAUCAACUAACUUCUAGCAAGUCAAAGAAAUACCUCUAGCCAAUGAGAAGGACACAACUUCCAGUACUGUGGUCCAGCAUACUGAUUAUUCAUUUUAGUCCAUUUCCCUCUGCUAUGAGCCAAAGGACUUCCAGUAAAUGCCCCUUCCUAGCAGCUCAGAUGAAGCAAAUUAUAGCAAAGUUUUUCAUAAAGUCAGUUUAGAGCUACAAGAGGAUGUACAGGAAAUGUAAGCUAUAAGGAAAGAAGUUGAUCAAAAUCCAGUUAAUUCCAUUGUGAUUAUUCUCAAGACUGGUAGAGAAGACCAGAAUGGUUUGCUAAAGAAUUUUUAGGAUCUCAUGGUAUCCUACAGACUCCUUUGGGACAUCUUGCCAAAAUAAAUUUGCACUUCUCAGUAUGAUCAUUUCUUUGAGGAAAAAAGUGAUAUUUUUACUCAGUGUUUAAAACUGUAGCAGGGACACACAUGUUCCUGAUGGCAGAUGAUUACAUGGAUUCCCUUGUUACUAAAAAGCAGGAAUCUAUCUUGUGUAGGAACGACUAUGUAGAAAUGAGUCAUUAUCCUGAGGUGUGUGUGGGGCUGUCAUGGAAACAUUAAAAUAACAUGGUGCUGAGCAGGUGGUAUUAGAAAUAUUUCUGUAAUGUAACAGUUAAAAUUAGUUUCUCUGCUAAAGUAUUAUAUUUUUAUGAGGUUUAUUAAAGGUUAAGAAAUAAAGAAAAUACAAAAUAAGAAAGCACGUGUCUAGGCCCAGAGAGCCCAUUCACAACCACUCACUCCACAUCCUGCCUGGUAGCGCGGCGUGUGCCCAGAGGCGGAAGCUGAGAGAGCAAGCAGAAGGUGGAGUCGUUUUAAAAACAAUUUCUGUUCUCAUCUCAGGUGGGAAUUCAGGUGAGGUUACAAAGCAUUCUGGGAAGUAGCAAGGACUUGUGGGGAUUGAAGUCUGGGGUUCAAAUCUCCAUUUUUACAGCAACUAAUAAGUUUUAUGUUGAUUUAGAAUGAGAAGUGACUUACCUUCAUGGGAAAGAUUACUGUUUUUAUCCUUCUUUGUUGCUAAUAACUUCAUCCUUUUCAUUUUGGCUAAGAAGAUACCAAUUUGAAAUUUAUUCUGAUUCUGAAAAUCAUGUCUCCAUGAUCCAAGGAAUGCAUAAUAGCAGAGUGCCAAGGUAUAUAUUUCAUCAUGAUGAUAUUAACCAUCUUAGAUAAUUAGUAAAGAAAUCAAACACAUCAGUCUCUGUGAUUGUGGCAAUUGAAACUGUUGACUAAGUGGCUGGAGAGGUAUGUCCAUUGCAAGAACUAUGAAAUGUGGCCCAUGGAUGUGGAAUGAUUACCUUUAUGAAUGAAGUCCAUGCUGAAGGAUUAUAUGGUACUCUUGGAGGCACUAUGAAUGAUCAAGAUGGAGUCAUAUACAAAAUGGACUUAAUUUCUGGAACUCUGGGCAAAGACUACAGUUGUGUUGGUGGUUAUGUUGCCAGUUCAAUUUUUUUAAUAGACACCAUAUGGUCUUUUGCCAUAGGCUUCAUUUUUACAACUUCCCUCUUUCCCCAGGCUUCAGACUGGCACUCUUGAAUCCAUAUGCAUCUUAGAGUGCUACUAGGAACACCAGUGUAAUCUCAAACUGAUGAGGCAAUUACUAAUAGAUAUUGGGCUCCCCAUGGUUCACUGCCUCAGUCAUACCACUCCACUCUGGUACAAUGUCAGACUGAUGAGACAGAUGCUAAUGGACACUGGGUUCCCUAUGGUUCACUCCAUCAGUCACAUUCCACAGUGGGUGGCAGAUUCUUUUAAAAAUACAGAGGUCUGUGAUGAAUUCAUGAGCAAAUAUGAUAUCUGCAUCCAAGCCAUCAACUAUCCAACUGUUUCCUGGUGAGAAGAAUUCCUUUAUUCAUAACCCCAAACCCUCACCACAUUCCACAGAUGAUGAACUAUUUCCUGGAGAAGCUGCUGGAUACUUGGAAACUUCCUGGGCUGUAUAUGAAGCCUCACUCCUUAGCAGAGUGUAACCUCUCUAGGAUGCCUUAUACUUUGAAGUCAUGCGUGAGAGAAAGAAAGCUUACUUUCAGGCAUGAGCAAACUGGUUUUUGUCAGUGCCUGAAUCUGACCUCCAUGGCUCUACUUGAUGCCAACCAGUCCCUUCUUCAUGUUGUCUCUGUAGCCUUUAUAUAAGAAGUAACUUAUCUUAAGUUUUAAAUCAUAGUAGAAACAUAGUAAUGCAAAAGAAUUUCUAUAAAAAAAAACAAAUAUUGGUCUGAUAGAUUUUGCUUUUGAUCUUUUAUGUAGAAUUUAUGGGAGGACAUGGUCAUGAAUCAUAUAGGUUGAGAAGACUUGAAUGAAUCAUAGGCUGUGGUGGAGGAAGUACUUUGAUCAAUGUCAUGGAUCCACUGAAGUAUUAGCAUAAAAUGGGAGAGCCCUAGAGAUUAGUGCCAAAAUUUUUGAGUAGAAGGAGCAUUAUAGCUAAAUUUUUUCUAGCAUUCCCCUCCAAACAACUUUAAAAUAAUACCUUAAAUAAAAUUCUGGAAUGACACAGCCAUCAAAAGGUUGGGUAAGACCAUUUUCUAGUUCAAGACAAUGAAGACUAUCAGGAAUAAUAUUUUGAAAUUCCAGACCUACCAGUUGAAUGAGAAAAUACUGACAGCAGCUUGAAAGAAAUCUUUCAAAUACCAUGGAUUCAGGAUCAUAUAAGUUUCAGCAGCUAUCACAUUAAAGGUACAAAGGUUGUGAAUAUGAUAUUCCAGAAGUUUACAGUAAAAAAAUAUCCUACUAAGCAAAAUUGAGUAUAACUCUUCAGGGGGAAAAUUAGAUAUUGUAUGAAAUAGAAGACCUUUGAGGAAUACUGAUGAAAAAACUAGUACAAAAUAGAAAAUUCACCAUAUAAACACAAUAUUUCAAGCAUUAAUAAGGUAAACAUGAAAGAAACCACGAAGGACUCAAGAUUAAACUCUUUGAAUUCCUAUAUGGGAAGAUUAUUCAUAUAACUGUUAAGAACUUUAUCAUUAUUAGGAGAGUUAGAAGGAGUCUACAUAGGUAUAGGGGUAGGUCUGUGUUGAAUAUUUUGGGAUGAUCUAAAAAAAAUGGAGGUGAGCAUCUGGGUGUCUCAGUGGAUUGAGAGUCAGACCUAGAGACUGGAGGUUCUGGGUUGAAAUCUGGCCUCAGGUACUUCUUAGCUCUGUGACCCUGGGCAAGUCACUUGACUCCCAUUGCCUAUCCCUUACCACUCUUCUGCCUUGGAACCAAUACACAAUAUUGAUUCUAAGAUGGAAGGUAAGGGUUUCAAUUAAAAAAAUAAAAAUUUAACAAAAAUUUUAAAAAAAUUGGAGGGGUGAGAGAUGCUCCGGGAGAAGAGGAGUGGAGAAAAUUUUCUUAACAUAAAAUAGAUGUUUUAGGAAGAGUUUUUAUGGUGGAGGGGGAUAUGGUGCAGGGGGAAGGCAAUGCUUGAACCUCACUCUUAUCUGAACUGGUUCAAAGAGGAAAGAAUAUAUCUGCAUACACACUCAUACUCAUCCAAGUAUAGAAAUCUAUCCUAUCUAAUGAGAAGUAGUAGGGAAAGGAGAUAAGAAGAAAAGGGGAAGGGGAAUGAUAAGAGGGAGAGUAAAUUAAGAGAGGCAGUAGUGAAGAGCAAAACACUUUUGAGGAGGGAUGGAUUUUUAAGAGAUUAGGACAACAGGAAAAAAAAUAGGAUGAAGGAAAAUAUAGUUAGUAAUCAUAACUAUAAGUGUGAAUAGGAUGAAUUCACUGAUAAAAUAGAAGCAAGUGAUAGAAUGGACUGGAAAUCAGAUCCAGCAGUAUAUUAUUUGUGAGAAACAUACUUGAAAAAGGAAGACACCUAAUUAAAAUUAGGGCCUGGAGCAGAAUUUAUUAUAUUUGAGAAGUAAAAAUUUUGAAGGCAGGGAUAGCAGUUAUGAUAUCAGAUAAAACAAAAGCAAAAGUAGGCCUAAUUAAAGAUAAAAGCAGGGAAUCUACAUUUUGUAAGAUAUACAAUAGACAAUGAAGUAAUAAUAAUAAUAAUAAUGUCAAAACUACACAUAUAUGCAACCAAAUGACAUAAUAUCCAAAUUCUCAAGGGAAAAGUAAAUGAAUUAUAGGAGGAAAAUAGAAAAUAAAACUAAACUGGUUCAGGGCCCUUAUCUUUUCCCUCUCAGAACUAAAUAAAUCUAACCAUAAAACAAAUAGGAAAGAAGUUCAGGAGAUGAAUAGAAAUUUAGAAAAGGUAGUUAGGGUAGACUUAUGAAGAAAAUUGAAUGGGAAUAGAAAAGAGUAUAUACCUUUUUUCUCAGCUAUAUAUAUUACCUUCACAGAAAUUAACCAUAUGUUAUUGCAUGAAAAUCUAACAACCAAAUACAAAAAGCAGAAAUAUUAAAAUAUACCUCUUUCAGAUCAUAAUGAAAUAAAAAUUGCAGUCAAUAAAGGGCAUUGAAAGCAUAGAUUAAAAAUAGGAACUAUUCUAAUUCUAAAGAAUGAGUGGGUUAAAGAACAAAUCAAAGGAACAAUCAAUUUUCAUUAAAGAUAUUGACAGCAAUGAGGCAGAAUACCAAAAUUUGUGGGAUGCUGCCAAAGUAGUAUUUGGUAAAGUAGUAUUUUGGGGGAAAAUUUAUAUCCUUCAAUGCCAACAUCAAAAAAGAAGAGAAUAGAUCACUGAACUGAUCAGUGAACUUGGAGAACUAGAAAAAGAACAAAUUAAAGAUCUCUAAUAAAAUACCAAAAUAGAAAUCCUGAAAGUCAAAGAAGAGAUCAAUGAAAUGGAAAGUUCAAAAAAAGAGUAAACUAACACCAGGAGUUGAUUUUUAUAAAAACAAAACAAUAUCCUGGGUUCAGAUCUUGCUGCUCUUUUGCCUUGGAACUGAUACUUAGUAUAGAUUCUAAGACAAGAUAGGGGUUUAAAAGAAAGAAAGGAAAAAUAAGUAAAGGAAUCUUACUAAUUUCCUUUUAUGACACAAGGAUGGUUUUGAUACCUAAACUAAGGAGGAUAAAAUCAGAAAGAAAACAGACCAAUUUCCCUAAUGAAUAAUGCCAAAAUUUUGAAUAAAAUAUGAGCAAGGAAGCAUUAUAUCACAAAAAUCAUACACUUUGAUGAGGCUGGAUUUAUACCAGGGAAGUAAGAAAUGGUUCAAUAUUAGGAAAACUAUAGCAUAACUGAUUACAUCAACAAAAAGUUACAAUCACAUGAUUAUCUCAGUAGAUUCAGAAAAAGCCUUUGACAAAUACAAUUUCCAUUCCUAUUAAAAACAUUAGAAAGCAUAGAAAUACAUUGUGCCUUUCUUAAAAAGAUAAGUAGUAUCUAAAACCAAGAACAAGACUUAAAGUCUUCCUUAUAAGAUCAGGGAUGAAGCAAAGAUGUCCAUUAUCACCAUUAUUAUUCAGUAUUUUACUAGAGAUGCCAGCAAUUAGCAAGAAAAAGAAAUAAAGAAAGAAAUUGAAGGAAUUGGAAUAGAUAACAAAGAAACAAUCACUCUUUGCUGAUGAUAUGAUGGUAUACUGAGAGAACCACAGAUAAUCACCUAAACAAUUUUGAAACAAAUAACUUCAGAGUUGCAGGAUAAAAAACCCACAUAAGUUAUCAACAUUUCUGUAUUUUGCCAACAAAACCCAGAAGGAAGAGAUCGAUAAAUUCCAUUUAAAAUAACUAUGUAGUAUAAAAUACUUGGGAGUCUACUAGCCAAGACAAACCAAAGAACUAUAUAAACAUAAUUACUGAAUACUUUUCUCACAAAUAGAUAUCUGUACAACUGGAUAAAUGAUAAUAAUAAAUAAUAUACU